AGUGAACGCUGGCGGUAGGCCUGACACAUGCAAGUCGAACGGCAGCACAGUAAGAGCUUGCUCUUACGGGUGGCGAGUGGCGGACGGGUGGGGAAUACAUCGGAAUCUACUUUUUCGUGGGGGAAAACGUAGGGAAACUUACGCUAAUACCGCAUACGACAUACGGGUGAAAGCAGGGGAUCUUCGGACCUUGCGCGAUUGAAUGAGCCGAUGUCGGAUUAGCUAGUUGGCGGGGUAAAGGCCCACCAAGGCGACGAUCCGUAGCUGGUCUGAGAGGAUGAUCAGCCACACUGGAACUGAGACACGGUCCAGACUCCUACGGGAGGCAGCAGUGGGGAAUAUUGGACAAUGGGCGCAAGCCUGAUCCAGCCAUGCCGCGUGGGUGAAGAAGGCCUUCGGGUUGUAAAGCCCUUUUGUUGGGAAAGAAAAGCAGCAGGUUAAUACCCCGCUGUUCUGACGGUACCCAAAGAAUAAGCACCGGCUAACUUCGUG
rnacentral:rRNA from 1 species